rnacentral:rRNA from 1 species
AUUGAACGCUGGCGGAAUGCUUUACACAUGCAAGUCGAACGGCAGCAUAGGUGCUUGCACCUGAUGGCGAGUGGCGAACGGGUGAGUAAUACAUCGGAACGUGCCCAGUCGUGGGGGAUAACGUAGCGAAAGUUACGCUAAUACCGCAUACGAUCUACGGAUGAAAGCGGGGGACCGUAAGGCCUCGCGCGAUUGGAGCGGCCGAUGUUAGAUUAGGUAGUUGGUGGGGUAAAGGCUCACCAAGCCGACGAUCUAUAGCUGGUCUGAGAGGAUGAUCAGCCACACUGGGACUGAGACACGGCCCAGACUCCUACGGGAGGCAGCAGUGGGGAAUUUUGGACAAUGGGCGCAAGCCUGAUCCAGCCAUUCCGCGUGCAGGACGAAGGCCUUCGGGUUGUAAACUGCUUUUGUACAGAACGAAAAGCUCUGGGUUAAUACCCUGGGGUCAUGACGGUACUGUAAGAAUAAGCACCGGCUAACUACGUA